rnacentral:rRNA from 3 species
GGAUGAGCCCGCGGCCUAUCAGCUAGUUGGUGAGGUAGAAGCUCACCAAGGCGACGACGGGUAGCCGGCCUGAGAGGGCGACCGGCCACACUGGGACUGAGACACGGCCCAGACUCCUACGGGAGGCAGCAGUGGGGAAUAUUGCACAAUGGGCGAAAGCCUGAUGCAGCGACGCCGCGUGAGGGAUGACGGCCUUCGGGUUGUAAACCUCUUUCAGCAGGGAAGAAGCGAAAGUGACGGUACCUGCAGAAGAAGCGCCGGCUAACUACGUGCCAGCAGCCGCGGCCG